GUGCUUGCUUCGGCAGCACAUAUACUAAAAAAAUAGGAACGAUACAGAGAGGAUUAGCAUUGCCCCUGCGCAAGGAUGGCAUGCAAAUUCGUAAAGCAUUCCACAUUUUU
ensembl:snRNA U6 U6 spliceosomal RNA